rnacentral:tRNA from 1 species
GCGCUGGUGGUGUAAGGCGAACAUCGCUGCCCGGAAAGUAGAAGAUGCGGGUUCGAGUCCCGCCUAGCGCA